rnacentral:rRNA from 1 species
AUUGAACGCUGGCGGCAUGCCUUACACAUGCAAGUCGAACGGUAACAGGUCUCCGGAUGCUGACGAGUGGCGAACGGGUGAGUAAUACAUCGGAACGUGCCUAGUAGUGGGGUAUAACUACUCGAAAGAGUGGCUAAUACCGCAUGCGAUCUACGGAUGAAAGCAGGGAAACGCAAGGACUUGUGCUACUAGGGCGGCCGAUGGCAGAUUAGGUAGUUGGUGGGAUAAAAGCUUACCAAGCCGACGAUCUGUAGCUGGUCUGAGAGGAAGAUCAGCCACACUGGGACUGAGACACGGCCCAGACUCCUACGGGAGGCAGCAGUGGGGAAUUUUGGACAAUGGGCGCAAGCCUGAUCCAGCAAUGCCGCGUGCAGGAUGAAGGACUUCGGGUUGUAAACUGCUUUUGGACGGAACGAAAAGCCCUGGGUUAAUACCCUGGGGUAAUGACGGUACCGUAAGAAUAAGCACCGGCUAACUACGUGCCAGCCGCCGCGGUAA